rnacentral:rRNA from 1 species
AAUAGACUACCCCGGUAGUCCACGCCGUAAACGAUGGAAGCUAGCCGUUGGGGAGCUUGCUCUUCAGUGGCGCAGCUAACGCAUUAAGCCUCCCGCCUGGGGAGUACGGUCGCAAAGAUUAAAACUCAAAGGAAUUGGACGGGGGCCCGCACAAGCGGUGGAGCAUGUGGUUCAAUUCGACGCAACGCGAAGAACCUUACCAGCUUUUGACAUGUCCGGUUUGGUUUCCAGAGAUGGAUUCCUUCAGUUCGGCUGGCCGGAACACAGGUGCUGCAUGGCUGUCGUCAGCUCGUGUCGUGAGAUGUUGGGUUAAGUCCCGCAACGAGCGCAACCCUCGCCCUUAGUUGCCAUCAUUCAGUUGGGCACUCUAAGGGGACUGCCGGUGAUAAGCCGCGAGGAAGUGGGGAUGACGUCAAGUCCUCGAUGGCCCUUACAGGCUGGGCUACACACGUGCUACAAUGGCGGUGACAAUGGGAGCUAAGGGGCACCCGNGCUAAUCUCAAAAGCCGUCUCAGUUCGGAUUGC